rnacentral:rRNA from 1 species
AUCUACGGCCACGCCACCCUGAACACGCCCGAUCCCGUCUGAUCUCGGAAGCUGAGCAGGGUCGGGCCUGGUUAGUACUUGGAUGGGAGACCACCUCGGAAGACCAGGUGCUGUAGGCA